rnacentral:rRNA from 1 species
UACGUAGGGUGCAAGCGUUGUCCGGAAUUAUUGGGCGUAAAGAGCUCGUAGGCGGUUUGUCGCGUCUGCUGUGAAAACUCGGGGCUUAACUCCGGGCCUGCAGUGGGUACGGGCAGACUAGAGUGCGGUAGGGGAGACUGGAAUUCCUGGUGUAGCGGUGAAAUGCGCAGAUAUCGGGAGGAACACCAGUAGCGAAGGCGGCUCGCUGGGCCAUUCCUGACGCUGAGACGCGAAAGCUAGGGGAGCGAACAGG